UUUAGUCAUUUGCUAAGUGUGAGAAAUAAGAGUUCUCUUCCUACAAAAAGUCUCCAGCUUUUGCUUCUUUGUUUUCCAAUGGUUUUUGGUAUCAGAGUCAUAUUCUUUCUGAACUGGGCAAGAGCAAAAAGAGAAAAAAAAAGGUGAAAGAGUGAAACAGGUAAGGUAGUGUGAGUAAUGGCUAUGAAUAGUACUGUAACUAUAUCUCAGCCAUUGAUUCCAAUUUUCAAUGGAGAGAAAUAUGAGUGCUGGCGUAUCAAAAUGAAAACUCUGUUCAAGUCUCAAGAGAUAUGGGACUUAGUAGAGCAUGGGUACAAUUCAGAUGAGUAUAAACAACAGUUAAGAGAGUGCAGAAAGAAGGACUCCGAAGCCUUACUUUUCAUUCAACAAGCGGUACACGAUUCAUACUCCUCAAGAAUUGCAACGUCCAUUACCUCAAAGCAAGCCUAGGAUUCUCUAAAAAAGGAGUUUAGGGGCUCAUUAAAGGAAAUCACUAUGAAAUUGCAAUCUUUUCAUUGUGAUUUUGAAACCUUGCACAUGAAAAGUAAUGAGUCUGUGUAAGAUUAUUUAUCUAGAGUUUCUGUAAUUGUAACUAAAAUGAAAUUGUACAGAGAAGAUCUCAGUGAUAAAAUUAUUAUGGCAAAGGUGUUAAGGAGUCUAACUCCUAAGUUUGAUCAUGUCGUAGUUGCAAUUGAAGAAUCACAUGAUUUGUCUGAUUAUUUCUUUGAUGAACUAAUGAGUUCCCUGCAAGCUCAUGAAGAAAGGCUGAACAAAGCACAAGACAAGGGUGAAGAAAAGGCAUUUCAAGUGAAGAAAGAAGCAGAUAAGUUUGAAAAUUCAGGUGGGAGAGGACGAGGAAGAAGUGGAUUUCAUGGUCGAGGUCAUGGAGAAAGAAAAGGUCGAGAACGCUCUACUGACCAAAGGCAGAUCAAGAGCAAUAUCCAAUGCUAUUAUCGCAAAAAAAUUAGCCACAAGCGAAUUGAUUGUUGGCUUAAGCAGAAAGAUGACUAUAAGCAUGAUGAGCAGAAGCAUGUUCAUUUCAUAAAGAAGACCGAAGUGGAGAGUAAGUUGUUCAUGACUCAUUCUUCUUCUAAUUAUUCUUUUGGUGAUGUUUGGUUUAUAGAUAGUGGAUGCUCCAACCAUAUGACUGGAACGAAGUCCUUGUUUAAGAUGCUUGAUAAGUCACACAAAACAGAAGUUCCACUUGGGGAUAAUAAUCAAAUUCAAGUUGAAGGGAAGGUACAAUUGCAAUUAAAACAACUCGGGGGCAUUCGAAGGGAGCUUAGUGCACCAUACACACCUAAGCAAAACGGUGCAGCUAAAAGGAAGAAUCGUACCAUUGUUGAGAUGGCUACAAGUUUGCUUGUAGCCAAGGGUCUUCCAAAUCAGUUUCGGGCAGAAGCUGUUGCUACAACAGCAUAUCUUUUGAAUGUCUUUCCCACAAGGGCUGUUCUAAACUGUACACCAUAUGAAGCUUGGAGAGGGAUGAGACCUUGGAUCCUACAAGUUAUGAAGAGGCAGCUAAACAACAAGAAUGCGAAAUUGCCAUGAAGGAAGAAAUUCAGGCCAUUAAAAAAAAAUAAAACUUGGGAGCUGAUAGAUUUGCUUGAAGGAAAAAAUGCAAUUGGGCUUAAAUGGGUGUAUCGAACAAAGUAUUGUGCUGAUGGUAGUAUACAAAAGUAUAAAGCUCGACUCGUUACAAAAGGGUAUGCACAGCAACAAGAGAUUUAGAAGAAGAAGUUUAUGUGGUUCAACCAUAGGGUUUUUCUAUUGGUGGUAGUGAAAAUAAAGUCUACAAGUUGAGGAAAGCUGUUUAUGGGCUAAAACAAGCUCCACUUGCUUGGUACAGUAAAAUAGAUGCUUUCUUUCAUGAGAAGGAGUUUACUAGAAGUGAGAAUGAACCCAUUCUAUACCUCAAGAAGCAAGGUAAUGCUGAUUUAUUGGUUGUGUGCCUUUAUGUUGAUGAUAUUAUUUAUGUAGUCUUUUGAGUCUUUACUUGCUGAAUUUAAGUCAUGCAUGAUGAAAAGUUUUGAGAUGACAGAUUUGGGUAUGUUGCAAUAUUUACUUGGACUUGAAGUGAAACAGGGAAGUGAUGGAAUCUUUGUCUCCCAAAGGAAGUAUGCAGCUGAUCUUGUAAAGAGAUUCAAAAUAGAGAAUUGCAAAGUGUCAGCUACUCCAAUGAAUGUGAAUGAAAAACUACAACUUGAAGCCAGCCUAGUAUCCAGGUUUAUGCAUAGUCCUAGUAAACAACAUCUUGGUGCAGCAAUAAGAAUCUUACGUUGUGUUGCAGGAACUAUGGAUUUUGGGAUUUGGUACUCCAAAGUCUCAAAUUUCAAGUUGAUUAGCUUUACAGAUAGUGAUUGGGCAGGAUGCAUCAAUGAUCAGAAUAGCACAUCUGGUAGUAUUUUCACCUUCAGAUCUAGAGCUGUCACAUGGAGUUCCAAGAUGUAAGAAACAGUGGCCUUGUCAUCCUCUGAAGCAGAGUACAUUGUAGCAACUUCAGCAGCCCGUUAAGCAAUUUGGCUAAGAAGAUUGUUGACUGAUCUUAAUCAAAAGCAAGAGGGUCCAACGCCAAUCUUUUGUGACAACAAGUCUGUUGUUGCAAUGAUGAAAAAUUCAGCUUUCCAUGGAAGAACUAAGCACAUUGAACUUCGUUAUCACUUCAAUCGAAGCAAGAUUGCAAGCAAAAGAGAUUGAGCUAAAGUCUUGUGGCACUGAUGAACAAGUUGCAGAUGUUUAAGUCACUUUCACAGCAAGUACAAUUCUUUUAUAGUGCAAUUAGGAGUAACUGAUUUUGAAUCAAGGGGGAGUGUUGUUUAAUGAGUCAAAAUCAAUUAAGAUAUUUUCCUAGUUUUUUAUUAGUUAAUAAGUAUGAUGUUGAGUCUGCACGUUUGAAACUUUGUUACUUAUUUUUAACUGUUUUUGUUAUCAUGUAAGCCUAUUUAUGAGGCCAAUUUCAGUCAUUUGCUAUGUCUGAGAAAUAAGAGUUCUCUUCCUA